GGGGUAAAAAAUGACCCUCCACUGUUUAGACGGAAAUACCCACACGUGUUGUUGAAGCAACAGGAAUCCGAAUCAAACAAAAUUUCGAUGAUGUCUGUCUGUCGGGUCGGGUCUGUCUGUCUGUUGGUCCGUCUGUACUCGCAUAUUCUUAGGCAUAAAAUGGCAGAAUCGCGCAUGCGCAGGUGGGCGGGUGGUAUUUGUGCUAGCCACAGUUAAUUUUUUUGAAAACAUUCAAAUUUUUGGUAAACAGUUUGAAAUUUUCCUUUAUUUUGUAAUUAACGUAGGUAUGAAACGUAGGUAGAAACAAAUUGCUAACUCUGUACCCAGUGUACAAUAUAUAGGUUGCUAUGUUUUGUCUAUCAAAAGGAAUUAAUUUCUACCAACCAUAGCUCUUCUCCUUGACCUCUUGAUGUGAUCGGGUAUAUUCCCUUAUACUUCAAGAACGGAUUGUCGGAAGACAGUACUCACAAAGGGCGAUUGAGACGUCUGAAAGAAAUAUAUCCAUUGGUGAUGUCAAAACAAAAGCUGUUUCGGUUAAAAAAAUGCGGUUUAUCUGCACAAGAGUUUCCCGUACGAUAUUAGGAAUAAUAAUUCGCCUUUGAAUAACUCCCCUUCAUUUUGUUACAGCAAAAAUGUGACACUUUUAUUCUUCAACAAGACAGAAAAGGAUAUAUUACUGAAAGAUCAGUUAGAAACCCUUCACAAUGAAGAUAGUAGGUUUCGAGUGGAACACAUUCUUUCACAAGCAGACUCAAACUGGACAGGACACAAAGGGAAAAUCAGUAAUAACCUUCUUCGCGAUAGUAUUGACAAACAUUUAUUAAAUACUGUGUAUAAAGAAAGUGAUAUUUUUGCAUGUAUUUGUGGACCAACACAAUUUUCGCACUUAGCGCAAUCACUGCUCACUAGUACAGGUUUUAAUCGUGAACAAAUGCACGUGUUUUUAGGAUAGCAGGAAACGGUUGUUGCACAUAUUGUGAUUAAUUUAGCAAUGUUAGAGAAAUUCUUGCGCCAAUUCUUGCUACGGGUGUUAUGAUUAGGGAUUUUUGGAUCAACUAGGGACUUACCAGCGGUGGAAUUGGUUUGUGAAUCAAUCGAACCGCCGCGCCGGACUCGACCCGUGGAUUAUACUCAUUAAAAAUGCAUCUACAGAUAGAGCUUUCGCAGCAUCCACAUUCAACAUUUCGAAAUAACCUUUGUCCUCCCUUUUUCUCGACAUUUUGCUAAAACAUCAGCUCAAAUAUGGUACAAGUUGGCUGUUCCGGCAUUUGUAGGUCGAAUUUUUAUCAUACAUUUUCGCAUUACCUACUUGCGAUGUAAAUUAGGCAGAAAAAUGUGAUUUUACACAAUUGCAAUAAAAUGGACAAGAAUCGCUUUUAAUCUUUACAGUGCGUUUGAUGGUUCUUCUAUUGCCAUGUACAUAACUAGCAGCUGUCGUGUAGAUGUACUAAAAUUUAUGUAAGUAAAUGAUUUUCACUGCUAUUACGUAAAGCACGGUGCAUCAGUGUAAUCUCGUAGGAGUCUUUAGGAGGUUCUAAAAUUGUGAUUGUCAAUGGAAGCAAUUUUUUAAGUAUGCAUACUUUAAUGUGGCACAAGAACCAACUAUUGCUUUUAUUGUUAUAAAUAUUAAUAUGUAACAUUUUGAAAAUCUAUCGUAUUCUUAAUAUGAGGAAAUGUCUAUUUUGUAAUAGAACUAUCUUGGUCAAUAAAGCGAAAUGUGGUUUUAUAAGUUUUC